GGGCCCGCACAAGCGGUGGAGCAUGUGGUUUAAUUCGAUGCAACGCGAAGAACCUUACCAGGGCUUGACAUACUACAAAUUCUUUAGAGAUAGAGAAGUGCCUUCGGGAAUGUAGAUACAGGUGGUGCAUGGCUGUCGUCAGCUCGUGUCGUGAGAUGUUGGGUUAAGUCCCGCAACGAGCGCAACCCUUAUUUUUAGUUACCAACUUGUUGGGUUUUCUAGAAAGACUGCCGGUGACAAACCGGAGGAAGGUGAGGAUGACGUCAAGUCAGCAUGCCCCUUAUGUCCUGGGCUACACACGUGCUACAAUGGCUAAGACAAAGAGUCGCGAACUUGCAAAAGUCAGCUAAUCUCAUAAACUUAGUCUAAGUUCAGAUUGUAGGCUGCAACUCGCCUACAUGAAGUUGGAAUCGCUAGUAAUCGC
rnacentral:rRNA from 1 species